rnacentral:lncRNA from 1 species
UGAAAAGCCUAAGCCUUCACCAACUCCAUACUAUUACAAGUCACCUCCUCCUCCAUCUCCAGUUUACAUAUACAAGUCACCACCUCCUCCAUCACCUACUUAUGUUUACAAGUCACCACCACCACCAGUGAAGUCACCUCCCUAUUACUAUCAAUCUCCACCUCCACCAUCACCAAAACCUCAGCCUCCUUAUUAUUAUCACUCUCCACCUCCUCCAACACCAGUUGUUAAGCCACCAUACUACUACCAAUCUCCACCUCCUCCAUCUCCAAAACCUAAGCCUCCAUACUACUACCAAUCUCCUCCUCCUCCAUCACCAAAACCUAAACCUCCUUACUACUACCAAUCUCCACCUCCUCCAUCACCAAAACCUCAGCCUCCAUACUACUAUCAAUCUCCACCUCCUCCAACACCAGUUGUGAAGCCACCAUACUACUACCAAUCUCCACCUCCUCCAUCACCAAAACCUCAGCCUCCUUACUAUUACCAAUCUCCACCUCCUCCAACACCAGUUGUUAAGCCACCAUACUACUAUAAAUCUCCACCUCCCCCAUCACCCUCUCCUCCACCACCAUACUACUACAAAUCUCCACCACCACCAUCCCCAUCACCGCCACCUCCAUACUACUAUAAAUCUCCACCUCCACCAUCACCGGUUGUUAAGCCACCAUACUACUAUAAAUCCCCACCUCCCCCAUCACCCUCUCCUCCCCCUCCAUACUACUAUAAAUCUCCACCUCCAUACUACUACCACUCUCCACCUCCACCAUCACCAGUUGUUAAGCCACCAUACUACUACAAAUCUCCACCUCCACCAUCACCCUCACCUCCCCCUCCAUACUACUAUAAAUCUCCACCCCCACCUUCACCAUCCCCUCCUCCUCCAUACUAUUAUAAAUCACCACCACCACCAUCCCCAUCACCGCCACCUCCAUACUAUUACAAAUCCCCUCCACCUCCAUCCCCAUCUCCACCGCCUCCUUAUUACUAUCACAGUCCUCCUCCACCAUCUCCCACUCCUCAUC